rnacentral:rRNA from 1 species
GACGAACGCUGGCGGCGUGCUUAACACAUGCAAGUCGAACGGAAAGGCGCGGCUUUUGCUGGUCUCUCGAUUGGCGAACGGGUGAGUGACACGUGAGUAACCUGCCCUUGACUUUGGGAUAACUUCACGAGACUGGGGCUAAUACCGGAUAUGAUCUCCUGCUGCAUGUUGUGGGUUGGAGAGAUUCGGCGGUUGGGGAUGGUCUCGCGGCUUAUCAGCUUGUUGGUGGGGUAGUGGCUUACCAAGGCUUUGACGGGUAGCCGGCCUGAGAGGGGGACCGGCCACAUUGGGACUGCGAUACGGAGCAGAAUCGAACGGGAGGCAGCAGUGGGGAGCAUUGCACAAUGGGCGGGAGCCUGAUGCGGAAACGCCGCGUGCGGGAUGACGGGCUUCGAGUUGUAAACAGAUGUCGAAUGUGACGAGGCGUGAGUGACGGUAAUGGGUAAAGAAGCACCGGCUAACUACGUG